CAAAAAUGUGACUUUAGACUUAAGCACCAAGGGCCUUUUUUCUAACUUCCAUGUGAAGAGCAGUGACAAGAGCUCUGGUAUGUGAGGAAGGCAACCUGGAAGAAAGAGAGGAAGAAGGGAAAAAGAUUGAGAGAGAGGGAGAAUCAAUAGUGUUUAGACAGAGAAGUGGAGUCUAAGUGUGUGAUCAAUAGAGAGCAGAGAGGAGAGAUUAGCUGCUUUUCUCCCUCAAACUAACACUGACAAAUUGGUGAAUUGGUGUAUCGGCCCUUGGGCUAAACGGAUUGACCUGCUGUUUCCAUGUACCACCGUGUACUGUCAAUAAAGAUCUGUGUUCGUUGAGACUCUCAAUGAAGAGAGUGAAUGAAGCAGCAGAGGAGAGGAAAAGGCGAAUGGACAGCAGGAAACAAAAUGUAAGAAGUGCAACCUCAGGUAAGGCUGGAUACACACAAAAUGUCCUCACCUCUGUCUCAUUAACAAACGCGCAUUCACACGUGCAUCCUCGUGCACAGCGUUAUAAAACCAUAAUAACAUCUCCAGGAAAAUUAAUGGAAAGACAGAUUAAAAACUAAGUGAGGAGAAACGGGGCAGUGGUGUAGCUAUUUGCAACUCAUAAAUCAUCCUGACACACCCACGCGCAUGUCGACACACACACACAUGUGUAUACACACACACACUCACACACGUACUGUAAUUAACCACAGGCUAUUUACUCUCUCCUGCUGUAAAUUAGACAUGCAGACACAGUUAUUACAUUAGGGGAAUCUGCCAUGCAGAAUGCUAACAGGAAGAGGAGGGUGGCGGGACACACAGGUACACAACACAAGCAGCUCAUAUAAAAAUAAACACACACACACUUGCAUGUACACAAGAAAGAAGCUAUGGAAGAAUCAUAGACUGACAGGAGUGAAAAUGAAGCUGCAGCACAGAGAAUAGGGGCCCCCAGCUCUUUGUUCCCUGCUGCAUUUCAUUAUCUGAAACGCCAGCCGACACACACACGACUCACGCUCACACAGACACACGCAAACGCACCUCCCCCUCCCCUAAAGCUGUCUGCCUUCCACUCUAUGCACACCGCAUACACACAUAAAAAAAGAAGAGGAAAAUAGAGAUACUGCGUCAGUGCCAUUCACUGACAUCUGGAGUCGGUCAUGACAAGCAUGUCUGCAUGGUCAUCUUUAAAUCAGCAAGUGCAGAAGCUGCUCUGAGUCUCCCUCAUCUGUUCUCUAAAGAAAGCACUGUCCCAUAACUUCCAUUUUUAAGUACAGCAAAAAGAUACGUGGGCUUGAUUGAAGAAAGUAUUGGUAUUCUAUCUGGGGGAGCUUUUAACAGUUUUUCGUUUUUUAUUCUUGCAGUCUCUCUGUAUGUCCUCUUGUUUCCCCUGCCUCCCUCACCCCUCUCUGUCCCUCUGUUUUCCCACGGUGAUCGAUAGCUCAUUACAAUCAUUGACUGCAGCUCAUCAGCACCUGUUAGAACUGGAGAGACGGAAAAAGGCGCACAAGGCGUCUCGAGAUUAUCGAUAAGUAGUCGGAUCUACGUUGAAUUUGGCUUAUAGUUUCGAAUUGGGUAUUUUCUAUUGCACAUCCAUCGCCGCAGGUGUCUAGUUUGCCUCUGCUUUAUGGUCCGUGGUCUUGGGGAACAUCUUAUUAUGCAACUCACGUGAGUACCGUGGUUUGUUGCUAUGGUGAUUGCCAGGGGAGCUGGAGUAUUAUAGGUGUUUAUCCUAGACAGGAGCAGGCUACUCUCUAUCUAUCAGGACAUGCCACACAGUUUGGACCACACAAUAAGAUCAACACAUGCAGUCACAUGAGGGCAAAUGAAAGACAUAUUCAAAUGCAUUGAUAUUCCAAGGAAAAAGUAACCUUGUAUAAACACAAAGUUGUUGGUUUAAUGCGUUGAUCCAAAUGUUUGUUUUUGGAGAGAAUAGACUGUGAGCUAAAAGAGGGAAACAGAGAAAAAUGGGUCGAGUCAGAGAAGCUAUUAGAAACUGCACACCAUAGUUAAAAGCAAUGAAAAAUGUGUUAAAAACAGAAUAAAACCGCCAGAGGUCCCCCAUGGAUUCACGCUCAGGAUGUGGUCUAAAGAAAAAAAGAAUAUUGGCGUGAGUGUGAAUUUUUAAGGAAAAGUGGAUAUAAAUGGGGGAACACAAUGGCGGCUAGAAAAAAGCAGAAGUGUCUCCCUUCAUGCAUAAAUUACACACAUCAUUUACAUAUUCAUUAUGUUUUGUGUUAUAAUGAGAGUAUUUGCUUAAUAGCUUCACCACCACUGGCAGCUUUUGUUUGACACAACAGAAUUUAAAGAGUGGGGGAAAAAAAGAGAAAAAACAAAGGAUCGUAGGUCAUCUCCGUAAAGUGGGUGAGGUCAAUGGUACACAAUCAAUUUUACUGAUAAUCGCAUCAAUCAUAAUGCUGUAUGGUGAGAACAAGCACAACCUGCUCAGGGCUCUUAGAGAAGUGAAAUGAAGCAAGGAGAGAGAGGGGGGUUGGUAAAAGUUAAUUAAAACAACACAGCUUUCUCCAAACUCAGGGCUUUGGUCGUCCUUCUCUUGUCUCCGUGGAAUAAGUAACCGCAGCUGUAAUUACCUGCAGGGCAGCCACCGAGAUCAUUCCUUCAGGUGCUAAAAUAGUCCUCCAGAUGACAAUCAAGGCAGACAAUUUGUGUCGGUCCUAUGGGGGGAAAAAAAGUUCCAAAUGUUUCAGUGAAUUGAUGUUGGCUGUGUGGGCGAUGAUAUGUAAUAAACUGAGAGAGUUAACGAUUUAAAAAGUGAAUAAAUGAAAUUAGCUGAAGAAAGUGGGACGGAAAUAUAGAGACAGGGGGAAGGGCAAUGGAAGAAUGAACUACAAAUGAGAGCGAUGGCGGUGGCAGGUUGGCACGGUGCCAUCCAGUCAGGACUGAAGCAGGGGCGGGCAUGGGCAUGGGCGAAGGGGCGAGGAGAAUAAGAGUGAAAGACGAGGAGAAACAGACCUCCACAGUGCUUCUAUGAUGCCACCUUGGCACAGGCAGAGUGGGGCAUCAUGAACGGGAAACCGGGCAGGGAAAAGGACAAUAUGGAAAAGACCCGGGUAAAGCGGAGCUUUGAACCACAGCGUGCCAGCCAGCGGGCAGUGUGCCAGUUUGUCCUCAUGGCUUACCCGAAGCACUUAAAGCAGAUGGCGGAGAAUUGUUGCAGUCAAAAACAAAGGGACUCACCUCAGAGGAUUUGCCUCUAAUCACUGUUUGCUCGGACAAAGCCAAGAGGAAGUGCCCGGGCAACGGUUGCCAGCGGUUGUGAUGGCAUCUUUUGACUGGUUUCAGGGCAAUGGAAGAAAGGUGGCAUGCUGCCAAGGCAACGCAUUUGUAAACAGAAACAUCGAUAUGUUGAGCGGAACAUUUCAAAUGCCUUGGAUAUUUUUGGCAAAAACAUUACUUCAAGGGAAAGGCUAAAAAGAUAAAUGGCAUCACGCCAAACAAAAAUCACGAGGCAUUUACAGGCGCUGUCAAAAGCUAUACUAGCAGGUGGAGAAUUGCAGCCCAAAAAUAGUAACAACGUGGUACAACUACACUCACAAAUGGAGCUUUUGUGAGUGCAUGGCUCAAGAAGCCCAUUGCCUUGAUGCCAACUCGACCGUGUGCCAGCUGGCUGCACUGAAGGGAAGGUUGCUGGACAUUACAUGGAAUGAAGAGAAGUGAAUCUACCAUUUUUCCUUAGAGAGGAAGAGAAAUAAUGAGCAAAAGAAGUAAAGGAUGUGGAAGGAAUUUGUGCUUAACGAAGAACAGUGGGAGUGGGUGGACAGAGAUGAUGAAGAGCCUCUUUCCUGCUCUUGCACAUGUUCUUAAAGGGAAAUCCCCUCAGACUGCUAUAUGUGUAAAAAGAAGGUAUGUGUUGGCAUCAUCUCCAGGGUGUCAAGCUGUGUUUCUCCACUGCCAUCCAGGGAGGGUGCUGCUGGAGUCAUCAAGGGCGAGCAACAGUCUGGGCAUCUCAUCUGCAGCUAAUUAACAGCCACACACUAAUUCUAACAGCCGAUCAUAAUUAGUGAUUUAAUCGCUCGUCAGCCCUCUCCCCCGCCCCCUUAAAUUGCGCCUCCUAUUUGGACACGUGCGGAUAAGCCAAAGAACGCUUGAUCCCAGCCCCCACCUCCCUCCACUCUUCCUCGAUGCGUCUUUUCUUCAUCCUUGGCUCCAGACUCCAGUGGGAUCUUAAUUAAGCCUGGGCUUCAUUAUGCAAAUGGAGUACAAUAAGCGACAGCAGAGGUGGAGUUGGAUACAGACUGAAAAGGAGUGAUGGUAGUGGAAAGCUGGAAAUGGAAAACAUGUGAAAACCUACAAAAAUGAUCUUCUCAUGUUACUAUGUUGCAGUAAUUGUGUGUCGUUCUAACAUGGAUUUCUUCAGUGCUUGCGCUACUACCACAUGUUGUCUGAGAGCAAACACCUCAUGCAAUGAAGCUGCAUAGCUGCUGCCUAGGGGAAAACUUCCCUGAAACAACACUGGAUAUUCAGAAUGUCAUCUCUCACAAAGAAAAUUCUCAAGGGAAUCAUGACAAUGAACCUCUUAAUAUCACCAGUUGGCUGGAUACGGAGAGAGAUGGUAGAGAUAGGGGGAAAGAAAAGGAGGCAGACAGAAACACUGACAGUGGCAGCAGCAUGGCAGCUAAUGUCAUCUCAGUUUAAUCAUCGCAUAGGAUCAUGGGGUUCAUGAAAAUUCAUUUGCAUAUCAUUAAAUGGAGAGAGGUUAUUUGGUGCGGGCCAACAAAAUAGGAUUGGAAGAAGGAAGGGGGUGAAAAAAAGGAAAAUAGUUGGGCUCGUUAUUAAACUGCAAUGUUUUAUAGUCUGCCAGCCGAUUCAUUUAAUUUGAAUGUAAUUAAAAUGUGUCAGGCUCAAUCAAUCAUGCCAACAGGGAUACUAUCAAUGUAUCAGUCUGAAAAAGGACUAAUCAGAGGAUAUGCACUUGGACACUUUCCAAUAACAGUCAAUGAGAGUGGGCUAUAAUCCUCUGGAAGCUUGACCAACCUCCUUCUUCAGUCGACUAUGCAAAAGUGCAAAUAUUGUGUAUUAUGUAAAAGCUGUGAAAGAUUGUGACAUGUAGUGCUUAGUGAGAGGGUGUGCCACUUUGUUCAGUGUUGUCAUAUUGCCCUACAUGUUUUCCUAUUGUUGUAUUUUUGGUAGAAGAAUUUUUCAGGUAUGAAAUAGGAGCCGUCUUCACCUGGACAUUUCAUAUAAACCAUGCAUCUAUUUGGAACCACCAGGUGGACAUUUCGUGCAACUAGUUUGACAACAGAUGAUUUAAACUAUGUUUAAUAGUAGUAAUAGUCUACUACUGGGAAAUAUGGUCAUUGUGACUGCAGUAAUUAAAAUAUACAAGCAUUAUUGCUUAGGUUGUUGGUUUUGUCAGUGGCUCCAGGUCUUAUUUCUGUAACAAAUUCAUGUAUGGAAAUUACAUUGUGUAAUACAUUUUAAAGCUGUAAAGUAUUUUGUGAAAUUAUGAUGAGAAAUGGUCAUAAAAAUAUGCAUAUUUCACAUUA